rnacentral:rRNA from 1 species
GACGAACGCUGGCGGCGUGCUUAACACAUGCAAGUCGAACGGAAAGGCCCCUUCGGGGGUACUCGAGUGGCGAACGGGUGAGUAACACGCGAGUAACCUGCCCUUGACUUCGGGAUAACUUCAGGAAACUGGGGCUAAUACCGGAUAGGAAUCCUUGCUGCAUGGUGGGGGUUGGAAAGCUUCGGCGGUUUUGGAUGGACUCGCGGCUUAUCAGCUUGUUGGUGGGGUAGUGGCUUACCAAGGCUUUGACGGGUAGCCGGCCUGAGAGGGCGGCCGGCCACAUUGGGACUGAGAUACGGCCCAGACUCCUACGGGAGGCAGCAGUGGGGAAUAUUGCACAAUGGGCGGAAGCCUGAUGCAGCAACGCCGCGUGCGGGAUGACGGCCUUCGGGUUGUAAACCGCUUUCAGCAGGGGCGAAGCUUGUGGUGACGGUACCUGCAGAAGAAGCACCGGCUAACUACGUG